ensembl:ncRNA B0350.79 ncRNA
CAGCCAGCCGGCUCGUGAAGAAUCAUGGAUGGUGAAAUUGGAUGGCGAGAAAAAGGAGGAAUAAAAAGGCCGGAAAAGAGUCCAUUUAUUUUGAAAAUCGAUCCUUUUCUCAAUGUGCCAUUUCACUCUUCACUUU